AUGCUGCAUUUGCAUAGGUUGCUGAGAAAUUCGAAAGGAAGAAGCAUAGGCUUCUAGGGAUAUGAGGACAUAGGACCUUGCCAACAGUAAGAGAAAAGACUUUCACUCUGUAAGCUUAGUCAUGGAGGGCAAGUAGAGCCUUGUAAUCAGUAGACCAACAGGUUAAGCACUUGGUGCCGUUGGUCAUUUCUAAAGCUAAGCCAGAGAGGAUCAUGAGGGUCCCUCCACAGCUCUAGAAAUCAGUUUACUAAGGGUGGACAGACAAGGCAUGGGUCAGAUAGCAUAUUGGGUUUCUUGCCUACUUGUAACCAGAGCAUCAAAUUAGAUGCUGGGAGGAGAUGGAAUGAUAUUGGAGGUGUUUGACCCUAGUUUUAAUGAGUUUAUCAGUAAUCCAGAGCUUAGAAUUAGCUCAUAUGAUUAGAAAAACAAAGGCAUGGCUGGAGAGGUGUCUUCCUAGUUUGUUGAUGGCAUCUGUGAUGUGUACACCAAGAGAUCUUGGUAUUAUAGACUUUGGCUAUUCACCUCUCUCUCUGUUUUUUUUUUGUUAAUUUCCUCAGUGUUAAUCAAGAUGCCACAUGAUAGGAUAAAUUCAGUAAACAGAAAAAUGUGUCUGUAUGGACAUCUUUAGUGCUUUUUUUUUUCCUUCUUGUUAGAAUUUUGCUAUUGGCUUAAGAAUAUAGUUCCCGAACCAUUUUUCUUACAAAGUUCUUUCUUUACACCUCUUGGCUACAGGGUGGGCCAAAUUAAAUCCAUCUAUAUUUUUUCAUUUGAUGUGUGUGCAGUUAGGUUUAUCAUCUUAAGAUGGUGGCGCUGCUUCUGGUGCUACUUCAUCUGUGUUCAAAAGGACCAAUGCAUGGUCUGUAUUGCUACCAAAACAUUUACUGUAUAUAUGUGUAUACCAUAUGUAUGAUGUAUAUAUGUAAUGGGUACCAGGCCAGGUCUAUAUUUUUAUUUAGAUUCACUUUUUCCAAGUUUUCUUUAGAGUGUUAUGCUUAUUUUUCAGUUUUUCUUUCCCCCCUGAUUCUGUCUGGUACUUAGAACUGUAGUGUCUUCAUCGUUAAUUAAAGAAAACUGUCUAAAUGAAUUCACGGAUGUGAAUGCUAGUGAUCCUUCAUGUUUUCAAUUAUGGGACAUGAAACAAACUGCCAAUUAAAGUUUUCUGGGCCACUUGAUUGGGUAAGAGCAGUGUACACUGUUUAAAUGCUGUAAUAAAUGAUUUUUGAAUGGAUAGAUUUACCUCACCCUGUCCCUCUUCACCUGGCUUCCAAUGGCCAAGAGGAUAAAGAAAAAGACCUCUGAAAAGACAGACUAGGAGUUGCUUUUGGUGGUGGUGAAGUAAUGGGAAGAGAGAGAGGAGCAAAAAUCCAUCCUUCC
rnacentral:lncRNA from 1 species